rnacentral:misc_RNA from 1 species
AUGGGUGCCCCGACGUUGCCCCCUGCCUGGCAGCCCUUUCUCAAGGACCACCGCAUCUCUACAUUCAAGAACUGGCCCUUCUUGGAGGGCUGCGCCUGCACCCCGGAGCGGAGAGGAACAUAAAAAGCAUUCGUCCGGUUGCGCUUUCCUUUCUGUCAAGAAGCAGUUUGAAGAAUUAACCCUUGGUGAAUUUUUGAAACUGGACAGAGAAAGAGCCAAGAACAAAAUUGCAAAGGAAACCAACAAUAAGAAGAAAGAAUUUGAGGAAACUGCGGAGAAAGUGCGCCGUGCCAUCGAGCAGCUGGCUGCCAUGGAUUGAGGCCUCUGGCCGGAGCUGCCUGGUCCCAGAGUGGCUGCACCACUUCCAGGGUUUAUUCCCUGGUGCCACCAGCCUUCCUGUGGGCCCCUUAGCAAUGUCUUAGGAAAGGAGAUCAACAUUUUCAAAUUAGAUGUUUCAACUGUGCUCUUGUUUUGUCUUGAAAGUGGCACCAGAGGUGCUUCUGCCUGUGCAGCGGGUGCUGCUGGUAACAGUGGC